rnacentral:rRNA from 7 species
CGCGACCCCAGGUCAGGCGG